GUCGGCCAUCCCGCGGUCGAGGGGAUGGAUAAGAGCAAGCCCUCGAAUCUCUCUCUCUCGCCGAAACCUAGGCCCUCAGUUUUCCACUCCCUCGCAUCUCACACACGAUAGCUUGAGCGGAACCAUGGCCGUGUCAUCAUCAACCUCGAGCGUCGAAGCCUCCCCGAGCCUCUAGAGGAGGUCCGGAGGAUGCUGCUCCUUCGUCUUCUUCGACCACGAACAUGGGUUCGUCUGGAGAUGCAACACACCGACGGAUCGGUCGUCAUCUUCCCCGUCGGCCGCCGCACAACCUCGCCUCGAUUCGUCGCCUCCGGAGCUUCCCCGGCCGUCUCGCGCUCGCCAAUCACCUCCUGACCCCGAGACCGCUGUUGAUGUCCCUGUGAUCGACUACGUCACCGACGACCCCUUCUUCCCUUUCAUCGGAGCUUCCAGAUGUCGGAGCCCAAGAGCUAGAUGCCACCGUCAAUGCCUACUGCUACGUGGAGACCGCUGACGACCAGGAGUAGUUAGGAGGCUCCCAGGCAGGAGGCCUUGCCUUUUCGAUCGUAGAUGCUUUUGUACUAGCCUUCUUAAGGCAAACUUGUCUAACUUAUGUCUGUACUCAGAUAUUGUUGCUUCCGCUGACUUUUGUGUAUUCGAGCUUAUGUAUUCGAGCCCUCGAGGCCCUGGCUUG
rnacentral:rRNA from 1 species